rnacentral:misc_RNA from 1 species
GAAUUCAAACAUUCCCGCUGGGUCACUGCGGAACAACGCCGGAACGAGUAGGGGUGUGUCAGCGUUCACUAGAGUGACCAAAAUUGGGGGCGAGGACGACUCACAAGUUUACGGUGCUUCCAAAGACUAACAUUAGAAACUAAAGAAGGAAAAAACCUUUUGCCCCCCCCCCCCUCUCAAAUUCAAUUGUAUUUUGAUAAACUUUGUACAUUAUAUGUACAUUGUUUACACAGAAGACUGCAUUGAAAAGUACAGUGUCGGAUAGACCGAGGAAAAUAAAGAGAAGCACCCUAGACAUUGAAUUACGUUGUGUUUGACUUUUUAAAAGCAGUCUAAGAGACGGAUUUUUGAAGCAAUUAAAUAAACAUUUUCAAUACU